GCCCCGGUAGUGUAGUGGUUUAGCCAUUGACGAAUGCGAAACAUUCGUCUGGGACCAAUCAUCUGGGACUGUCACUCCCAGGACCCGAGUUCAAAUCUCGGCCGGGGCG
rnacentral:tRNA from 1 species